rnacentral:misc_RNA from 1 species
AAAAAAAAAAAAAAAAAAGUGUUGAGAGAAAGAAAAGCUAACCAAAUAUGUUUUCACCUUUUGGCAUCCACUUGAUGACUAGAGAAUUUGGAUUUUGAGUUUGCAUAACAUAAUGAAUGAAAUUGAAUAAUGCAUCUAGAAUUUUAAAUUAUAUUAUGUGCAUUAUGGUUUGUGCUUUAACAUUUUGUGUUAUUCGAGGAAUGUUUUUGGUAUUAA